GAUGAAGAACGUAGCAAAAUGCGAUAAGUAAUGUGAAUUGCAGAAUUCAGUGAAUCAUCGAAUCUUUGAACGCACAUUGCGCCCGCCAGUAUUCUGGCGGGCAUGCCUGUUCGAGCGUCAUUUCAACCCUCAAGCACAGCUUGGUGUUGGGACUCGCGUUAAUUCGCGUUCCUCAAAUUGAUUGGCGGUCACGUCGAGCUUCCAUAGCGUAGUAGUAAAACCCUCGUUACUGGUAAUCGUCGCGGCCACGCCGUUAAACCCCAACUUCUGAAUGUUGACCUCGGAUCAGGUAGGAAUACCCGCUGAACUUAAGCAUAUCAAUAAGCGGAGGGA
rnacentral:misc_RNA from 1 species